AUACUUUGGAUAACAUUAGCAGGUUGAUUUUGUAUAAUCAUUCCUCCAAUUUUUGGGGUUAUACUGGCCAUUUAUUUUAUUACUUUAUUAGCAGGGUGUGUAGUCGUUUUCAGAUGCAGAGCUUCAACAAGCCUGUAGAGACUGAAGGUUACUUGGAUUGUUUUCAGUGGAUGGAUAAAAUGUGGCAACAGACAAGAGUAUCAUAUUGAAAGAAGAUGAGAGGAAGAACUUACUUCAUUUGCUGUCUGGCCAGUAUCUGCUGCAACAGUAUUGCAAUUCCAGAAUUCAGUGGAAGGAAUACCGUUGGACAAAAAGAAUUUAGAGUAGAGAGCUGAGCUUUGCGAGGUGGUACUAGAAGAGAACAAAGGAUCAGAUGAAUAAGGGAAUUCUUGUUUGUUAAAAAUACCAGUUUGGAGAUACUUCAGAGGUUCUUAGUUAUUAUGGGAACAUAUAAAACAUUAUUCAGAAUUUUCAUAAAGUAGAAUGUAUCAUUUUCCUGGCUCGGUUGGAGAGGUCAUGAAUCUGUAGCCCCACUGAGUUAUCUGUUGUCUGUUGAAGCUAUGAAGGAUGGCUCUGACCAUGUUUUUUUGUCGAUUGCAGAAUGUCCAUAUACCAUUUGUAAA